ACUUCCACCCCAGACCGUCGGAGGGCUCCGCCCAGAGUCUGAUGGAGUCUCACUCUGUCACCCAGGCUGGAGGGCAGUGGUGCGAUCUCGGCUCACUGCAACCUCUGCCUCCCAGGUUCAAGCAAUUCUCCUGCCUCAGCCUCCUGAGUAGCUGGGAUUACCGGCAUGUGCCACCACACCCAGCUGAUUUUUGUAUUUUUAGUAGAGACGGGGUUUCACCAUGUUGGCCAGGCUGGUCUCGAACUCCUGACCUCAAGUGAUCCGCCCGCCUCAGCUUCCCAAAGUGCUGGGAUUAGGGGCAUAAGCCGCCGCGCCGGCCUGGACUUCUGACCUCUAAACAAUCACCUGGCCCUACCCAACACCCCACAGACACACCAUCCAUGUGCGCAACCAUGUGAGUCUGAAAUUACAGCAUUAGAAGUUCACUCCUUUGCUUUCUCUCAGAGUCAUGCUUUAAAACAUAAAAAUUGGGAGAAUUGACACAUUAUGCACACUCAUUCUGGGGUGUUAGUAACUUGUCAGCUGAGGCUGGUGAGGCGCCCUGGAAAGUGCGGGAAGAGGCACUUGGAAGUGACCAGCGACAGGCUCCCGGGCU
rnacentral:lncRNA from 10 species